rnacentral:antisense_RNA from 1 species
UGUGGGAGCGGGCUUGCUCGCGAAUACAGACGCCUCGGUUCAUCUGAAUACCGAGGUGAUGCAUUCGCGAGCAAGCCCGCUCCCACA